GAUGAACGCUAGCGGCAGGCUUAAUACAUGCAAGUCGUGGGGCAGCAGCUUUAUAGCAAUAUAGAGGCUGGCGACCGGCAAACGGGUGCGGAACACGUACUGAACCUUCCUUUAAGUGGGGAAUAGCCCAGAGAAAUUUGGAUUAAUACCCCGUAACAUAUAAAAGUGGCAUCACUUUUAUAUUAAAGCUCCGGCGCUUAAAGAUGGCAGUGCGGCUGAUUAGGUAGUUGGCGGGGUAACGGCCCACCAAGCCUACGAUCAGUAACUGGUGUGAGAGCACGACCAGUCACACGGGCACUGAGACACGGGCCCGACUACUACGGGAGGCAGCAGUAAGGAAUAUUGGUCAAUGGACGGAAGUCUGAACCAGCCAUGCCGCGUGGAGGAUGAAGGUCCUCUGGAUUGUAGACUUCUUUUAUCUGGGACGAAAAAGGGCUUUUCUAAGUCAACUGACGGUACCAGAUGAAUAAGCACCGGCUAACUCCGUGCCAGCCGCCGCAGUAAGAC
rnacentral:rRNA from 1 species